rnacentral:tRNA from 1 species
GCCUCCGUGGCGCAAUCGGCUAGCGCGUUCUGCUGUUAACCGAAAGGUUGGUGGUUCGAUCCCACCCGGAGAGA